rnacentral:rRNA from 1 species
UACAGAGGGGGGCGAGCGUUAAUCGGAAUUAUUGGGCGUAAAGCGCGUGUAGGCGGCUUAGCAAGUCGGGCGUGAAAGCCCUCAGCUCAACUGAGGAAGUGCACCCGAAACUGCUGAGCUUGAGUGCCGGAGAGGAUGGCGGAAUUCCCCAAGUAGAGGUGAAAUUCGUAGAUAUGGGGAGGAACACCGGUGGCGAAGGCGGCCAUCUGGACGGUAACGUGACGCUGAGACGCGAAAAGCGUGGGGGAGCAAACAGGG